AUGUUGUUGUCAUCCUCAAGGUCGUGGAGCAUGUCUGCUUCACAAAACAAAGGGGUAGGCAGGGCCUUGUUUCUCCACCUUGUUCUCAGCGCACCCUGGACCUUUCAGGAAAAACCAGGAGGGUUUCUAAUGUUUUCUUUUCCUGAAACACAUCAAAGACCACUCCCAGCUUUCUCCUCUGAUUUUUGGAGCAAUGAGGAGAAAAUACAUUGGAUUACUGUGAUGGGUAUGUUGAUACCACACUCACUGCAGGACAGAAAUGGCAUCACUGCAGCCUGCGCCUGGAGAAGAGCAGUGGAGGAGGGCUGUGGAAACCAAGUAUACAGGAUUUAUACCUCUUCGUGUCUUCUCUGCUUCUCACAACACAAACUGACUUUGAAAGAUUGGCUCAGAAAAUGA
rnacentral:lncRNA from 1 species